UCUAGUAUAUACACUACAUAUAAUCCGUUGUUGUGGGUAACCAUAUAUCUAGUCAGUAAGCUCACUCCCCGAAAAAUGCAUUGUUUUCAAUGUUCCAAUUUGGCGAAACUGCGCAAAGUCGUCCAAAAUUCGUUUCACCGUGCGCAUCCGAUGAGAGCGGAUACGUUUGCCGAUUGGUCGUGACCGCCAUCUGAUUUUCAUGAAUUUUGUGAGGUUGUGUUUGGGAAUUGUUUGUUGUUUUGGUUAAUUUACCAAUUUAUUUUCAUACAUUUUUCAUAUUAAUAAUAAGUAGUUAUGUAUAUUAUGUACUGUGAAUGUGAUAUUAUUUUCUUAAAUCAAUAAAAUGGAAAUGAAGCAAGCAGAAAACAAUUUUUACAAGGAACAAUGUAAAAUUAAAAUCGAAAGUUCUGGACAACCUGUGUGAUGCUGUAAUAAUUAUGUUCCUAUUCUGUUAAAACUGAGAUAGAGAGUCUUUAAAACUGAUAAAAAUAGUUAUUUCUAUGAUGGAAAUCCUUUGGACCAAAUAAAUAGAGAAGUUAUUAUUGAAGACAUCAAAUAAAAGGAGGAAAAUUUAUGUGAAAAAUGAUUUUCUUCAUAAUAAAAGAAGAACCGACGAUAUUAUGAAACCAGUGUAUGGACGGUGUGUUUUACUGACUUAAAGCAAGAGUACCUUUUAAUACUUGAAUUUGUCACAUUUUUUACUUUCAUAAUUUUAUUUAUGUAAGUUGUGAUUCUAAAAAUAUUGUUAAGUUGUAUUCAUAGUUCUCUACUUGUUCUUUUGAAGUACUGUUUUUAUUAUAAUUGGUAUUGUAAAGUUGAAAUCCUCAAAUCAAAAUAUAAUUUAUAAUUCGAA
rnacentral:lncRNA from 1 species